rfam:Camelus ferus unplaced genomic scaffold scaffold940, whole genome shotgun sequence.
GAGGGUAUAGCUCAAGUGGUAGAGCACGUGCUUAGCACACAUGAGGUCCUGGGUUCAAUGCCCAGAAACUCCG